CGGCGGGACACGCCCCCCCAACGGGGCGCUCUAUUCUGUAAGGAAUAGUCUA
rfam:Rhodospirillum centenum SW, complete genome.